AAUUUAUUUUUAAUAUGUUCCGUCUGCGUGAAAUCGAGUAUGUCAUUGCUUGUUUAGUUAUUUAGGUUCUUUGCUUAAACCGAAACUAGGUUGUUAGAUGUUGUGUAUGGCUAAGAGCCUAGAGGCACUAGGGUUAAAGUAAAUUUGUAACUACCGGGAAGGUAAGGGCUUUGUAAUAAAAUAAACUACCGGAGGAAGGUAGGGUUAAGGUAAUAAUAUAACUACCGGAGAAGGUAGGGUUGAAGUAUCAACCUAACUACCUGGAGAGGUAGGGUUAAGUUAUAUUGUAAACCACCGGAAAAGGGUGGGGUUAAGGUACGCUGACCACGGCGGGUUAUAGAAAGCGGGGCUGAGGGCCAUGACGGUGACCACGAGGGGGCGGGGUUGGAGUCAAGGCGCUGGGUAGGAUCGAGUUCAACGCCUAUUCUUGGCAGGAAGUGAUUUGCCCGGGUGAAACCUCAUCUGGACCAGGAUGUUUGAGCAUAUCGGACGGCUGAUUGCAUAGGAGCACGUUAUGUAGGACUGGAAUAUGAUUCCUUGGAAGUGCAUAGGUACAGAUAAGGAUGUGCAGGAGUAAGGAUGGAGUGGUGCCAACUUGAAGUGUUUUGGAUUUUUCUUUAUUAAAAAUUUAAACUAUUUGUUUUCUUGUGAUCUUUGGAUUCUUUUUUUAUUCUACUCUCGGCUUUCUUUAUCUAUGUUUUCCAAAAACACUUAAGUAAUAAAAAUGGAUAAGUUGAACCCA